rnacentral:rRNA from 1 species
AACGAACGCUGGCGGCAUGCUUAACACAUGCAAGUCGAACGAAACCUUCGGGUCUUGUGGCGCACGGGUGCGUAACGCGUGGGAACCUACCCUUAGGUUCGGAAUACCUCCCCGUAAGGGGUGCUAAUAACGCUUAAUGUCUUCGGACCAAAGAUCUCUUGCCUUUGGAUGGGGCCGCGUUAGAUUAGCUAGUUGGUAGGGUAAAAGCCUACCAAGGCGACGAUCCAUAGCUGGUCGGUGAGCAGGAUCCGCCACACUGGCGCUGAGACACGGCCCAGACUCGGACGGGAGGGAGCAGUGGGGAAUAUUGGACGAGGGGGGAAAGCCUGAUCCAGCAAUGCCGCGGGAGUGAUGAAGGCCGUAGGGUUGUAAAGCUCUUUUACCCGGGAUGAUAAUGACAGUACCGGGAGAAUAAGCACCGGCUAACUACGUG